GAGUUUGAUCCUGGCUCAGAUUGAACGCUGGCGGCAGGCCUAACACAUGCAAGUCGAGCGGUAGAGAGAAGCUUGCUUCUCUUGAGAGCGGCGGACGGGUGAGUAAUGCCUAGGAAUCUGCCUGGUAGUGGGGGAUAACGCUCGGAAACGGACGCUAAUACCGCAUACGUCCUACGGGAGAAAGCAGGGGACCUUCGGGCCUUGCGCUAUCAGAUGAGCCUAGGUCGGAUUAGCUAGUUGGUGAGGUAAUGGCUCACCAAGGCGACGAUCCGUAACUGGUCUGAGAGGAUGAUCAGUCACACUGGAACUGAGACACGGUCCAGACUCCUACGGAGGCAGCAGUGGGGAAUAAUUGGACAAUGGGCGAAAGCCUGAUCCAGCCAUGCCGCGUGUGUGAAGAAGGUCUUCGGAUUGUAAAGCACUUUAAGUUGGAGGAAGGGCAGUAAAUUAAUAACUUUGUCUGUUUUGACGUUUACCGACAGAAUAAGCACCGGCUAACUACUGUG
rnacentral:rRNA from 1 species